rnacentral:rRNA from 1 species
GCGUUAAUCGGAAUUACUGGGCGUAAAGCGCACGCAGGCGGUUUGUUAAGUCAGAUGUGAAAUCCCCGCGCUUAACGUGGGAACUGCAUUUGAAACUGGCAAGCUAGAGUCUUGUAGAGGGGGGUAGAAUUCCAGGUGUAGCGGUGAAAUGCGUAGAGAUCUGGAGGAAUACCGGUGGCGAAGGCGGCCCCCUGGACAAAGACUGACGCUCAGGUGCGAAAGCGUGGGGAGCAAACAGGAUUAGAUACCCUGGUAGUCCACGCUGUAAACGAUGUCGACUUGGAGGUUGUGCCCUUGAGGCGUGGCUUCCGGAGCUAACGCGUUAAGUCGACCGCCUGGGGAGUACGGCCGCAAGGUUAAAACUCAAAUGAAUUGACGGGGGCCCGCACAAGCGGUGGAGCAUGUGGUUUAAUUCGAUGCAACGCGAAGAACCUUACCUACUCUUGACAUCCAGAGAAUUCGCUAGAGAUAGCUUAGUGCCUUCGGGAACUCUGAGACAGGUGCUGCAUGGCUGUCGUCAGCUCGUGUUGUGAAAUGUUGGGUUAAGUCCCGCAACGAGCGCAACCCUUAUCCUUUGUUGCCAGCACGUAAUGGUGGGAACUCAAAGGAGACUGCCGGUGAUAAACCGGAGGAAGGUGGGGAUGACGCCAAGUCAUCAUGGCCCUUACGAGUAGGGCUACACACGUGCUACAAUGGCGUAUACAAAGAGAAGCGAACUCGCGAGAGCAAGCGGACCUCAUAACGUACGUCGUAGUCCGGAUCGGAGUCUGCAACUCGACUCCGUGAAGUCGGAAUCGCUAGUAAUCGUAGAUCAGAAUGCUACGGUGAAUACGUUCCCGGGCCUUGUACACACCGCCCGUCACACCAUGGGAGUGGGUUGCAAAAGAAGUAGGUAGCUUAACCUUCGGGAGGGCGCUUACCACUUUGUGAUUCAUGACUGGGGUGAAGUCGUAAC